rnacentral:sRNA from 1 species
CUGUCUCCACAGUAUGUGUCAUACCCUUCCGUUAAU